rnacentral:rRNA from 1 species
UAGGGAAUCUUCGGCAAUGGGGGGAACCCUGACCGAGCAACGCCGCGUGAGUGAAGAAGGUUUUCGGAUCGUAAAGCUCUGUUGUUAAGGAAGAACGAGUGUGAGAAUGGAAAGUUCAUGCUGUGACGGUACUUAACCAGAAAGGGACGGCUAACUACGUGCCAGCAGCCGCGGUAAUACGUAGGUCCCGAGCGUUGUCCGGAUUUAUUGGGCGUAAAGCGAGCGCAGGCUGUUAGAAAAGUCUGAAGUGAAAGGCAGUGGCUCAACCAUUGUAGGCUUUGGAAACUGUUUAACUUGAGUGCAGAAGGGGAGAGUGGAAUUCCAUGUGUAGCGGUGAAAUGCGUAGAUAUAUGGAGGAACACCGGUGGCGAAAGCGGCUCUCUGGUCUGUAACUGACGCUGAGGCUCGAAAGCGUGGGGAGCGAACAGG